UACGGGGGGAGCAAGCGUUGUUCGGAUUUACUGGGCGUAAAGGGCGCGUAGGCGGUCAGCACAAGUCAGUUGUGAAAUCUCCGGGCUUAACUCGGAAAGGUCAACUGAUACUGUGCGACUAGAGUGCAGAAGGGGCAACUGGAAUUCCCGGUGUAGCGGUGAAAUGCGUAGAGAUCGGGAGGAACACCUAUGGCGAAAGCAGGUUACUGGGCCAAUACUGACGCUGAGCUGCGAAAGCUAGGGGAGCAAACAGG
rnacentral:rRNA from 1 species